rnacentral:lncRNA from 1 species
AGUGUUUUGAGCUCAGGAAAUUCCAAAAGUCAGUGGAGCAGAUUAGAAGGAAAGUUCUAGAAAUGAAAUGACAUUGGAGUUCCUAAAAGAAAAGAGAAAGAUCAAAUUAUAGGGCUUGCACUGAGUUUCAAAGAGGAUUGGCAAGAUGGGUUGUAGAAUUAAAUGACAGGCAGAGUGUGUAUGUGGAGAAGGGUUGGUGUAAAUGUAUGUGUGUUGGUGUGUGUGUACACAUGCAUGAGAGAGAGAGGAGGGAAGCAACAGAGGGCUAUUGAUGCAAACCUAUAGCCUAAUUAAUUAUCCACGACAGAAAAAGAAAUUCCUCCUACCCUUGCAAGUUGUCUUGUCUUCCUCUGAAUACAAAGUGUAUACCAACAGAAUCUACCAGCCAACCAGAACAGAAAUUACCCUUGUUUGGAGAACUUCAAAAAAUUAUCAGAUGAGAACUCACAGAAGACACAGGAAUACGACAUAACAACAGAUACAGAGCCUGGAGUAAUGACAGUACAAGUCAAGGAACACCAAGGAUCACCAGCUGCCACCCAACCCAGGAAGAGGAUUUUGCUCCUCAAGUCAUUGUACUUUGGUACCUACGAAUUUCAACCUUGUCCUUCAUACCCCGUGGGUGUGAAGAUUCCUGGCAGGACUCUAUUUCCACGCUGCAACUAGGUAAAUAAAUGUUCCCAGGAAAAACCUUUAGAGUUUAGUAUAGAAUUAUAGAUUCAAAAGCAGUUUUCCUUGAAACUUUGAAAGCAUUGGUUCAUUAUUUUUUAGUAUCCUGGGUUGCUGAUGUGACAUUUUAUUAAAAGCAAAACAAAACAAAACAAAAGCUCUGCUCAUUACUCCGCCACCCGCCAUACUCAGAUUCUUAUUCUUUCCCCUGAUUUUCUGAAAUUUAUAAGGUUGUGUCCAAGAAUUGCAGUUGUUUUUUUUUUAUUAUUUAUCCUGUUCAGCACUUGGUGGACUUUUCAGCAGAGAAACUUCAAAUCAUUUUUUUUAAUUACAUGAAUUUUCUUCUAUUUCUCUUAUUAGUUCUUCCAACUAAUUUUCUAUCAUUGAUUUAAAAGAUAGACCUCCUAGACUGAUCAUCUAUGGCUCUCUCAGUAAUUUUUCUCAUAUUUUUCAUCUGUUAGUCUUUUGUUCCAUAUUAAAAAAUGACUUCUUCAAAUUUUAUUUUAGGUCCUUCUAUACCUACAUAUACCAGUAUCUAUUUAUAUUCCUAUAGAAUAUAUUUUAAUUCAGAGUACCUUAUUUUUCCAGUUUCCAAAAACACAUUCUUAUUUUCUGAUUGAUCUUUCCUCACAG